AGUCCUUCAGAGUUCCUCAACCCGCAUACCUUUUCUCUCAGUGUUUCUCUCUGCCUACUUCAUCUCCCUCUUUCAUGGCUCUCGAAGCUCUCAACUCACCAACCACACCCACGCCUUCCUUUCACUACGAACAACCCAGCCUCCACUCUCUGGAGUCAUGGGCCAAGCGCAAGCGUUCCAAGCGUCCUCGCUUCGACAACCAACCUACAGAGGAAGAGUAUCUGGCUCUCUGCCUCAUCAUGUUGGCUCGAGGAGGCGCCGCCGCCUCCACCGUCUCACACCGCCGCCAUCUCUCUCCCCCUCCUGCCCUGCAGGUGGAAGCUCCUAAACUCACAUACAAAUGUUCAGUUUGUAACAAGGCCUUCGCAUCCUACCAGGCACUAGGGGGACACAAGGCCAGCCACCGUAAGCAGUCCGGAUCCGAUGACCUGUCGGCCUCCAUCACCACCACAAGCACCGCGGCCGCUGCCAGCGGUGGUAGGACUCAUGAGUGUUCCAUCUGUCACAAGACUUUCCCCACUGGACAGGCUUUGGGUGGACACAAGCGAUGCCACUACGAAGGCGGCGCCAGCGUCAGCAGUGGCGUUACCUCGUCCGAAGGUGUGGGGUCAACCCACAGCCACCGUGACUUCGACCUCAACCUGCCGGCUUUUCCCGAAUUAUGGUCCGCACGUCGAUUCCCAGUCGAUGACGAGGUCGAGAGUCCUCUGCCGACAAAGAAGCCCCGUCUCCAGAUGCUGCCGCCAAAAACCGAAGUCUCUCUAGAUCACCAUUAGAUUUCCAAAUUUAGGAUUAGUUUCUUUCUUUCUUCUCUAGAAAUGACCAUUGAAAUUCGUGUAUUUUUUUUUUUUUCCUUUUAGCUCCCCUCGAUUAGAAUUUGUUUCUCCUGUACAUGCUAUCUGAACUCGUAGUUGUUCAGCUGUGAUAGUGAUUAUUCAAUUGAUUGAUUUUUUAUUAAAACAAAUUAAAGCUCUCAUGUGUCCUCCCUUUCAAUCUGCAAACUAAGAUCACAGUGGUGGGUGGUGCCAACUUGGAAUCAAUUUUCCAUACAUACAGCUGCGUCAACGGCAGAGCAUUUGCCAUUGGCAACGACUUUGUGGCAGAAGGGGUAGAAACAGAAGAGUUGGUUGAGGAGUAGCGGGAGGGGACACUACUAGACAUGUGGGCGUUAAGCCUAACCAUUAUUAUAAUUGUAUUAGUUAAUUAGUAAAGAGAAAUGGAUGGAUGGACGAUGCUGAUGAGAUACGAGAGGAUGUUUGGUGGUGUGGAUAAGAAGAAAGCUUUGGGCACGCGGCUCUCCUGCGGAAGCGAUGAGGAUGACAGGUGGCCUUGCUUAAGCCAGGUUCUCUCCCCUCACUUCCUCUAUUCCACCCUUCUUUUCCCCACUUCAUCACCUCUAUUUGGACACGGCAUUGAAGGGCUCAUUUGUCUUCUGACUCUUCUCGAUCAUUAAUAGGUUACCUUUCAUGGGGUCCUUUUUCAACAAUGAAAUUGGAUGAUGAUCCUGAUAAAAUAACAAGUGUUUGUAUGAUCUAUUUUAUUUAAAGACGAAGGAAGAAGACGAGAGGCAAUCUUAACAAUCUAGGGAUUGGCUCCUCCAUUUCUAUUUUGUUUUUUUUUCACAUGCCUAAUUAACUUAUUUAGAGAGGACAGACAGCGUCACAAGAGGCCAUGUUGGCAUGCUUAAUAGAUUUAACCAAAAACAAAGAGUGAGUCAAUCUACCCAAAAUGCAAGAGCAUUUUCAACCAGAGAGCCGACCCUUUUUAGAGAAGUGGUGGCAACUGGCAAGCCCAUGAGAGGCCAUUUGUCACCACAUUCUUUUGAUAGGAGGCUACAUCUGGAGAUAAUCCUGACUCUCGAUACCAUUUAUUUAGGAUCUGCUGAACUACUCAAUUUCCAUUUUCCACCAUCGUCGGUGCCACACCUUCAUAAAAGAUUUAGGCUGUAUUUGGCUGGCAGCUCUUAUCUAAAUCUUAGGCUGAAAAGUAAAAACCAUUGCACUACUCGGAGCUUCUAGGUGUGAAAGCCUCCCCCACGAGCCAAGGAAAAAGAAAAAAAAAAAGCAUCCAUAGCUUUCAGCCCAACGUUUGGAAUAGAGGAACUGACCGAGCCCAUUUUAGUUGCUUAGAACAUGUUCCGGAGAUUGGGAAAUGGAAAAUAAAAAAUCUCACAGUAGCCUUUUCGUGUGGGGCACAAAUUUGAAUACUCUUCAGCCUGAAGGCCUAAACCGAUCCUCAGUUAGAAAAGAAAAAACUAGAAGGGAAAACCCCAAAAAUUAAGAAGGGUCAACUCAAGGAUCAAAUGCACUGAAUGUAACCGUAUAUUCACGACCGCGUGGGCGAUGAGUCUAGUCAUCUAAUGGGGACUGAUAUAAUUUUAUUUCACAAACCCAAUAGGGUGGUCCUCCUCUUAUAAUAAGUUUCAACUCUUUUUACUCAUUAUUAUCAUCAUCAUAUAGACCGACUAGUAUGCAUAAUUUAUCUCAAUUCAUGAGUUCCACCUUUGAUUCUCGUCUCUAUAUGGAUCUCCCUGUGUUUACCAUUUUAUUAGCUAAAGAAGAUUAUGAUACGAUUGAGUAGCUGUGCCCCACCAAACUGGGGUCCAAUGUGUAGUUGGUCGGCAACUUUAUAAGAAAGACACUCGGAGAUGACAUUGGGGUGGCUGGAAUUAAUACUCUGAUACAAUGAAAGAGUACCCACCUUCUUGGAUUUUUAGUAGAAAGAGGGAUAAUCAAUGUGUCAAGCUCACGUAAGGCUCGCAGCACGUGAGCAGUGAAACUACUCUAAAAUACUAGUCAAGUCUUCACAUUACUUGGGAAGCUAGCAAAUGGAUGUUUGGAUGGGAACUUGUUUAAUAACAAUGGGCCUUACGAAAUGGAUUUUUUUUUUCUUUUUUAACUUUUCCUUUUUUUUUUUUCUUAAAAAAAAAAAAAGAGAAGAAGAAGAAGAAGAAGACUAGUAAUGAACCAGCUAGAACGUUUCAGAAAAUGGAAAGACCGAUUGCAAGUUGAUGUAGGACACAAGAUGAAUGCUUUGUUUUACAUAUGGUAUACUCCAAGUUGAAAAGAGCGCUCUCUUUUAAUGGUUCUUCUAAGCAGUGUUCUCAUUUUGCAGUCUGUACUUGAUAAAAUUGUACUCCAACAAAUAAGGAAAUUGAAGUUUUAGACUGCAGUGUUCUAUCAAUCAUAGAAAAAAAUGAAGGUGCAAUAGUCAGAUGCAUGAAAUUUAUAAUAAUUUUAUAUUGGCUUUAAUUUGAGUGCUUCGUAUUUUUUAUUCAAAAUUUUAGAUAGUAUGGCAGUCUUGGCAGAUAACUCCAUCCUCACCAGCAGACAUGGAAUUGCAGGGUAAAUCUUCCAAGAAGCUUCCUUUGACAAGUCGUUUGUAUGGAUGAUCUGUACGGUUAAACUUCCGGGUCCAACGGUGUGGUUUGGUGGGCAAGGAAAACAAGGAUGACAGAUAACGCAAACACCCAACCCUUUCUAGAAGAGAAGGGAAAAGAAAAGAUUGAAAAUGAAUCAUACAAACCCCAACCCUUUCUAGAAGAGAAGGGAAAAGAAAAAAGAUGAAAGGGCGGUCGUGUUUGGGUGCAAUAUUUUUAGUAACGGUGGUCUCCCACAGCCAAUUCAAUAAUCUGGCGGCGGUGAAAGAAGUUCCUACAUUCCCGGUCAUUAGAUAGAGUUUGGGUCUAAAUGCCCUCUAAGCCCUUAAAAAGGUCACUUGUAAAAACCCUUUCAAAUUUAUUAUCAAACUAAUAUCUUUGAUGCCACUUAGAGUCAGCUAAUUUAUGUUUUUUUUUUUUUAUGAAAUUAAUUUAAAAAAAAGGUUCAACCCAUAUUUUGGAAAUACAAUUCUAUGAAAACUAAAUAAUACACUGUAGGAAGAUAUGACUUUGAAUUUAAAAGAAGAAGGAAUCACAUUCAAAAGAUGUAAAAGAUUUAUGAGGAUGUAAGAGAUGCGCAAUUCAUUAACAUCAUAAUAAACAUCUCAUACAUUAAUAUUAGGGGUGCAAUUUCGGAGUUCAAUCCAACCCAACUUGAUUUUGAAUGAUUGGGCUUGUUUCAAAAAAAUAUAAACCAGAUAAAAUUUGAGUUAGGCUUGGACUUAGACAUUAGAUAACUUGAACCCGAAUAAAAUAUUUAAUAAUAAUAACAAUAAUAUAUAUAUUAAAAUUAAAUUGUCCUAUCUAAUAUCCAUAAGAUUACUAUAUAUGUUUUGUUCUUGUAUAUACUAAAAUGUGAACUUCCAUGGGUAAGUUUUUUUUUUUUUUUUUUUUUUCACUUGCUAAUAUAUUAUGCACCUUUUUGCGUUUUUUUUCCUCUUGGUGCAACCCAACCUCAUCUAAUAAGCUAACUCAAGUUUUGACCUAACUAACCCAUAUAACCCCCUCAGUUCGACGAAUUUGAGUCCAACUCAAAUAUUUUUCUUCAACGAAGUCUAACUUGAUUUCAACCAAAGCUCAUAGAAAUAAAUUUUUGGGUUAAGCUUGAGUUGGGGUAACUAAGGUUACAAAUUAAAUUAUAUUAGACUGUAGGUAGAUUUGAUUUAUCCUUAGGUUUAGCUUGGAUUGACUAUCAAUCGACUUAUCUUGCUUGAGUCACUCCUCUAAUCAAACAUUAAAUGGGCAUCCCAUGCAUUGACAUUGUAAUGGGUGACCAAUAUAUAAUCUACUCAUACUACCAUUAAACAUAAAAGUGGUCUUGGUACCUAUAACACCAACACAAAUGACACGAUCAUAUUAAGGGUAAGCACUAUAAAAACUAAAGCAAACGUCUUUGAUGGUAGGUGAAAUUUAUCCACCAUCUCUUUAUUGAACCUUAUGAUCAUUUAUGACUAACUUGACUAUUAGAGAGAUGUUGACUACUCUAGUACCUCCUCAUUCUAACCAUGUAUGCGUAGAACGAUUGAUUGAAUGAAUUUUCCAAGAGAAAUAUUGCAAGGCAAUUAGAGGGUGAAUGGAGUUGUCAUGUUUGUGGGAAGCAUUGAAAAUAUUUAAUUGCCAUAGUGCAAAUGCAAACUAACAAUUAUGACUCUUUGCAAUCCAAAAGAUUCCACAAACAUGUAAAAGAUAUGGAAAGGAGACUUGAUCGUGAAAAAUAAGAGAUGUUUGGGAAGGAUGGAAAGUUAACAAGAAAAACACCAAUUGAUACAUUCAACCUCUCUCAUUCUAUUCCAAAAUCCUACUCUUACUACUUCUUAGAAUUGAGGAUUAAUUCUAGAAACCAAGCAUCAAGACUUAUUACUAAGGUAAAUAUAGCAAGUCUUAAUACUAUGAUUUUCAACUCGAUACAAAAAAAUAAAAAAAAUAAAAAUAAUCCUCAAUUCUAAUAAAAUAAUUAGGAGUCAAAUUCAUGACUACCACUACUAUCAAGAUGUUUGAUAGUAUUAUGAUUAAAAUGAUGUAGUGAAACUGUGAAACCUUAACAAAAGUGAAAAAAUGUCACAACAAUUGCAGUGCAAGCAAAUGAAGCCCAUCUUCAAGUGCUCCACCAAAAUGAAACUUUCUUUUGGGUGUAAAGCAUGAACUCAUCAUUUUGAAGGAAUGCUUGAACUUUUACGUAAGGAUGAACAGAGAACUUAUAGUCAUCCAUAGUACCUUCGAAAGAAGCCUAAGCAAAAAAAUAAAUAAAUAAAAGAUGAUCAACAAAAGAAUAAUAAGAAACAAUGAAAUAAAGAGUCUUAUAUCUAAUAAACACUUUAAGUAAUACUUUUGGGACACCUCAGAGAAUUUAAAAAAGGUCACUACAUAACUAAAUGAUACAUCUACUUGAAUUGACCCUCUUACACGGAUUUUCCUGCUCAUGAUUUAAUCCCAUAGGAAAUUUGGAGAGGAGAAUAGGGGGAAAAGGAAGAUAUAGGAGCACUCAAAGCACUAGGGAUACAAGUCAAUCCAAUAAUAAGUAAAUUGGACGGGAUGUUUAUUACCUAGAGCUAGCAUUUCUGCUAGGUAACCAUGAAAAAAGAUUCGCCCUUAUUAUGAUGCAUUUUAUGUGAGAUUAUUUCUCCCAUAAUUACAGUGGUCGAAGAAUUUCCACCACAUAGUUCACAUCUCAUCAAUCAUGAGGAUGUAAUCGACGUUCCAUGCAUUAACACCAUAAUGGAUGUCCCAUUUAUUGAUACUAUAACGAGUGGCAAAUAUAAAAUGAUCAACUUUUAUUCAUGUUACUAAUAAACACAAGAGCAACUUUGUAGCCUAUAAUAAUAUCAUAAGUAGUGUGAUCAUAGUAAAAGGAAAGUGAGAAUUAUAAAAAUUAAAGUAAAUGUUUUUCACGAAUAGGUAAAAUUUAUGUUGUAUCUAUUUUUUGAACUUUUUGAUCAUCUAUGCAGAAGAACUAAUUGGAAGAGUCUUUGAAGAGCCAUGUGAUAAGACAAUUAAUCAGAUAGUGGCAUACUCUAUAACUCAUCAAAGAUUAUUAGAAACAUAACAUUAGGUAACUUUUUACAAAAUAAUAUACACCAAGUGUAGAAAUAAAUAAAAAUCUACCAUCAUUUUCGCUCAUUAUCCACAUAAACCAUUCAAUACGACUUAAACAUGGUUGGACUGUUUCAUAAUAAAAUAGAUAAAAGUUAUCACGCCUCAAAACCCACUUCAAAGCUAUGACGGUCAUUUUACACCUCAAGCCUAAACGUUCCGAGUGGAAACGAUACAAACAUUUAUCUUGUAAUUAAAAAUUACCAAUUACCAAAUUCCUUUUCAAAGUAGUGGAACAAAAUUCUCACAUCUCUAAAUAUCACCUUUAAAACUAACAUAUCAAAUAAAGUAUUAUUAUUCAAGCAAUUUCAAACUUAAAUGAUAUAGCUAAUAGAAAUCGAAUUAUGACAUUAAACAAAGUCCCAACAAAGAGUUUAAACAAACAUCCUAAUAAAGUCAAAUUCCCCUCUAACCACCACUUCUCGCCCUAAUUGAGAGUACCUGAAAAAAUUUAUUAACAAAAAAUGAUGAGCUCAAAGCCCAAUAAGAAACAUUUAUACAGUUUCAUUAAUCAAAUAAUUUCAAUCAUACUUGCAAAUAGGAGAUAUAAGAUACGAUCAUUUUUAUAAAAACGUUUGAGUUCAAAUAUACUAAUACAUAUUAAAUUGUUUAACCAAACAUUUUCAUAUCUAUUAAAACCAUUUCACAUCAAAUCUAAAUUGAACACAUUUCAAAUAUUUUCACUCUUGUUAUUAUAUAACAAAUGAUGCUCAGUUAAGUGAGACUUUACAAAUGAGUGACUACUUUCAAAUGUGUUCAAUUUAAAGUGAACAAAACUAAAUAUCAAUAAUUAUAACCCAUUAACUAGAGUCAUAAGGUAAACUAUUAUAACCCGUGGACUAGAACCAUAUAAAUUAGAAUCAAACACUUUAUUUCAUUAAUUCAAACUUUAAAAAAAAAAAUCAUAUUUCCACAAUUUUCAUUUUUUAUUAAAAAAAUGCUCAAACAUAUUUUUCAUGCAAAACAUUUAUUUUAUCCAUGCAUAAAAAUAAAAUAAUAUUUUUACACAUUUCAAAAUACAUAAAAAUAAAAUUAUUUCUUUUUACAAAAUUUGCACUAAUUUCCCUGACUUUGAAAAAACGCUUAAAAUCUUAAAGAAUUGAGUUUGAAGAAUUUACUUAUCACCUAACAUAAUAAUAUAUACAAGAUUUAUUAUUGGUUAUUUAUCUAAAGAUAUAAAUUUAACCAUUUUAAAAAUAUUUUAUUUAGUUUUAGUAAUUCUAAUUAAUUUCUUAUGUUAACAUUAUUAUCAAUAAUAUUAUUUUCAACUUCCUAAACAAUAAUAAUUAAUUUAGUGAGUUUCCAAAUUUUUAUAAAAUUCAUAUUCCUUCCUAAUUCUAUCCUAAUUAUUUAUUUCUUUAUGUAUUUAAAUCAAAUUAAAACUUGUACCAAAAAUUAUUAUUAUUAUUAUUAUUAUUAUUAUUAUUAUUAUUAUUAUUAUUAUUAUACUAACUAAUACCUUUUUCUUUUCCACUUUUUAAAUAAUAUUCAUGGACUUGAAUUUUUAUUUUUACACCAACUCUACCAUUUAUUAUCAUAAUAAUAAUAAAAACAUUUCUCUUUUUUUUUGUUUCCUCCCAUUUAACUUCCUUCCCAAUCCGUCCAAACGCAUCCAUUUUUUUUGUAACCCUACAGGCCUACACUACACUGCUAUACACAUCUACUUUUUUUUUUCUUCAUACGUCCAGAAAAAUCACAUUAUUUAUUUAUUUCCUUUUUCACACCCUAUAAUCCAUAUGUUUUCUUUUUCAAAAAAAAAAAAAACCUCUCAUUAUUUAUGAUUUAGAGUGUGUUUGACAGUAAUUUUUAAAAGUAUUUUUACUAUUUCUAAUACUUGAAAAUUUUUAUUUUUCAAAUAUUAAAAAUAUUAUAAACAUUUUCUAAAAUCACUAUCAAACACACAUUUUUUUUUUCAUUUGAAUAUUCGAAAUUCCCCUAUUUUCAUCAAUAAAACAACAUAUAUUCAUAAAUUUUUAAUAUUGUAAUUUAAAAAUUAAAUAAACUAACCCUAAUUUAGAUUGAAAUCUUUCAAAGAAUUUUUAACUGUUCAAAACUAAUUAACGAAUUUAAAAUAAUAAUUUAAGGGUCAAAAAUCUUACUUGAAAAAUUGAUCUUCAACUCUAAACCUUCAAUUUUUUAGUCAUACAUUCUCUGAUCUUUUUAAUCUCUGUGUAAAAAAGUUUUUUUGAAUAAAGAAGUUUAAAAGCAAAAAGACUUUUCUACCCUUAUUAAAUUAAUUAAUUUUUUUCUAAAUUAAGGCUUUACCCCUAAAUUGGGUUUGAGGCAUUACAAAAGCAUAGCAUUGGGAAUAUCCAAUUCCCAAUUGGGGAUAUCAUGCAACCAUACAUCACCUAAAAAAUUAUAAGAUUUUUAGAACUUUGCUUUUAUAUUUUCUAUUUUAAUAUAAAGUGAGAAAAACUAUUACCUAUUCAUGCACUUAAGAGGUGUCAAAUGGGUCGCGUUAGGCCAGUACAGGCCAACGUGUCAAGCUAUCAGACCGGCACGACCCACUUAAAAAUCGUGUCAGGUCGUGCUGACCCAUGCAAGACAAAUAGGUGGUUUGGCACGACCCAUAAGUCCACGUUCUAAUCGUGUGGUGUUAGGUCGGGCCAUGUCGUGCCAGUGGGCCGUGGCCCAUGGGUGUGCACUUUGUUAAAAAUUUUAAUUUAAUUUUUUAAAUCAUUUUUUCUUAAUUUUUUUUCAUUAUUAAAUAAAAUUUCUUUUUGUUACUUUAAACAACUCUAAUAAUUAUAUUUUUUUAUUUUUUAUACACCUUUAAUAAUUAUACUUUUUAUUUUUUUUACAUUUAUAUUUAUCAAGUUUGUAAUUGUAAAAUUUAUAGAAAUGUUAGUUUUUUGUUUUUAAAAAUAGUAAAAAAAAUUAUAUUUGAAUUUGUUUAUUUUUUAUCAAAAUAAAAAUAAUUUUAAAAUAAUGGAAUAUAAAAUGAAAUGAAAUAUAAAAAAAUAAUUCUUUUAUUCAAUAUUUCAAUAAAUUACAUGAAAAAAUAAGGAGAAAAAAAAGUGAGAUAGUUGAUUUACUUUUUUACCUCUAAAACUAGUUGGUAUAUAAUUAUUGAGAGGGGUAUUAUAGAUAUUUGACAUAUAAUAAAAAGUAAAAAGUGAAAUUUAAAAUGGCCAAAUGGGCAAACACGGUGGGUCGACGGGUUGUUUCUUUAAGCCUAGCACGACCCACUCCUUUGGGUCGUGUCGACCCAACCUACUACAGUGUUGGGCUAUGUCGACCCGGCCCGACCUUUUGGCGUGCUGGGUCACGGGCCAAAAUGGGAGGCCCAAUCCAAUGGACACCUUUAUGCACUUUAAUAGUGCUUUCAAAUUUGUUCCAAAGUUGCCCUCAAAAGUAAAUGAUAAUUGUACUUUUAUUUUUUUUAUUCCUCUCAUAUCAACUUUCUCUCACAUCUCACUUACCACUUGUCAGUUCCCAUUUUUUUUUCUUUAUUUUCCUUUCUUACCAUCAUAUUUAUUGUCACCUAUUAUAUUUUUUAUUAUCAUUUUUCUUCUUUUUCCUUUGACAAAUUUUAAAAUAUGCUCAUGUAUUCUCUCAUAAAACUUUUUAAAUUUUCAUUUUUUUUCAUUCUCUAAUCUUUCCAUAUUUAUUGAUUUUAAUUAUUUUUUAGACAUAUUAAACUUAAAAUGAUAAUAUAUAAUAAAUAACUAAUAUAACAAAUUAAAUAAAAACAAAAAUAUAUAAUGGAUAAAAAUGAAAAUAUUAUUUUACAAAUAAUAUACUUGAUGAUUUUAAAUAUUAAUUAUAAUAAUACAUUUGAUAAAUUAAUAUUUAAAUUUUAAAAGUUUAUUUUAUUAUUUAGAAGUUUAUGAUAUAAGAUUUUUUUAUAUUAAUGCUAAAUAAAAGAUUUAUUUAUUUUGAAAAUCUUAUUACAUGUAAAAGUAAAAAUAUUUUUAUAAUACUAUUUAAAAAAAAAUGUCAAAGGAAAAAAGGAAAAAUAACAGUAAAAAAUAUAAUAGGUGACAAUGGAUAUAGUAUUAAUUUAAAUUUUAUCUUUUCGGAAAUGACUUUUGUUGACUAUGAAAAAAAAAGUAUUAAUUUAAAUUUUAUUCAUUUUGCAAACCUCAAUAAAAUUCAAUAUAAUUUAGUAAUUUGGAAAAAAAUACACCCUUUUAAAAAAAAUAAAAAAUUAUUACUAUUAUUAUUUAAAAAUCAAAUAUCUUGGAAAGUAUAUAUUUUUAAAAUUGUGUAUAUAAAAAAUAACUAAAAAUAUGUCAAAUUUUUUUUUUAAAUGAUAUAUUUUUAGAGUAUAUUUUUAAAAAAAUUAGUUUUCUAAAAAUAAUAAAUUUUCAGGAUAAUUAUUAAAAAAAGAUUUAAAAUCGAAAAGUUUAUCAAACAUUAUGGUAUAAUAUAAUUUUGAAGAGUAUAUUAGUUUUUUCAUAUAUUAUAUUUUGUCAAUCAAUUAUAUAAUUUAUACGAAUCAACACUUAAUUUUUGGGUCAAUCCAGGUCUAAAACACAAUUAUUUUAAAAAUAAAUUAUACAUAUACUUAUUGACCUAUAUUAAAAUGAUAGUACACUUUUUCCUUUACUUUAAAGGAUAAUUUUGAAAUAAAUUUGAAAGCACGAUAAUUUUGGAACAAAUUUGAAAGUAAUAUUGGGGUGGAUGAAUAGAUACACUUGAAAAGGUAAAUAAAAAUCUUUUAUUUUUUUUAAUCAUUGCAUGAUUUACCAUUGCAGUUUUUAAUAUAAGACCAAGUACUAUCGUUUACCUCGUGUCACUUGUAUUUUGGUCCACUUUCUAUUCCCCGUCUUUGCUUUUCCCCGGUUGAAGUGUCACCAGUUGCCCCUUUUGCAGACAAAAAGGCUGUGGUAAAUGCCAAAAUAGUAGUCUCUAGACUCUAGUACAUGGUUUCCUUAGCACUGGACCACCGGGAGCAAGGUGAACAGGUCAAAUAUAAUAGAGGAUGAGAUUAGUGGACGCCACAUGGCCUUUCAACCCCCAUGGAAACCACGAGCCCUCCCCAAUAUAAUAUUAUUAUAAGUUUGUAUGUGAAUGGCUUCUAUUUGCAACGGAUUUACCAAAUUUUCAAUCACCUUUUUUCAGAUACUUAAGUAUCCAAGUACAAAAGUGGUGGGAGAAAUGAAGUGUAAUUGGAGGUGGGGUGGGAAGGAAGUUGUUUUCAAUUACAACCACAACGGCAAUAGCAUUCUAAAGCUUCUCUCUACUAACAUCGUCACAUAUCCAAAUUGUAUUGUUGAAAUGACUCAACAUUGCCUUCCAAAAUUAGAAACAAAAUGCAGCAUUUAUAAGCUCAAACUACUCAAGUCAAUAAGGUUGGGUUCUGAGUGCAUGUAAAAUCAAGUAGAGUUGACAAAUAUUCAGCUGAAUUAGCUUCAGUUCAAAAGUUUUUCUUACCACUGAUGAAGAUUUAGACCCCAAGAAACCGCCAUUAUCAACAGUAGAUAAUUGACUUUAUUCAGUGCUGCUCCCUAUGCUUAUAAUGAAAAACACAGACAUACCAAGACCAACG
rnacentral:lncRNA from 1 species